UAUAUAUUGGUGUAAGGGCACAAAGAAUUUUGAUUUCUUAAGUUUUAGUUUAAUUCUAAGAUAUAUAA
rnacentral:tRNA from 1 species